rnacentral:rRNA from 1 species
UACAGAGGGGGUAAGCGUUGUUCGGAAUUACUGGGCGUAAAGGGCGCGUAGGCGGCCUGUUAAGUCGAACGUGAAAUCCCCGGGCUCAACCCGGGAACUGCGUCCGAUACUGGCAGGCUUGAAUUCGGGAGAGGGAUGUGGAAUUCCAGGUGUAGCGGUGAAAUGCGUAGAUAUCUGGAGGAACACCGGUGGCGAAGGCGGCAUCCUGGACCGAUACUGACGCUGAGGAGCGAAAGCGUGGGGAGCGAACAGG